CACGUAGGGCGCGAGCGUUGUCCGGAAUUAUUGGGCGUAAGAGCUCGUAGGCGGCCUGUUGCGUCCGCUGUGAAAGCCCCGGGGCUUAACCCCGGGUCGGCAGUGGAUACGGGCAGGCUAGAGGUAGGUAGGGGAGAAUGGAAUUCCCGGUGUAGCGGUGAAAUGCGCAGAUAUCGGGAGGAACACCGGUGGCGAAGGCGGUUCUCUGGGCCUUACCUGACGCUGAGGCAGCGAAAGCGUG
rnacentral:rRNA from 1 species